rnacentral:rRNA from 1 species
GACGUAGGUGGCGAACGUUUAUCCGGAAUUAUUGGGCGUAAAGGGUGCGUAGGCGGCAUGAUAAGUUAUUGGCGGCAAAUCGAGGCUCAACCUCGUGGAAACUAAUAAUACUGUCUUGCUUGAGUGCAGAAGAGGUUAACGGAACUCCAUGUGGAGCGGUAAAAUGUGUAGAUAUAUGGAAGAACAUCAAUAACGGCGAAGGCAGUUAACUAUUCUGUUACUGACGUUGAGGCACGAAAGCGUGGGGAGCAAAAGG